UACAGAGGUCCCAAGCGUUGUUCGGAUUCACUGGGCGUAAAGGGUGCGUAGGUGGUGAGGUAAGUCGGAUGUGAAAGCUCGGAGCUCAACUCCGAAAUGGCAUUGGAAACUACCUUGCUUGAGGGUUGGAAGGGGGACUGGAAUUCUCGGUGUAGCAGUGAAAUGCGUAGAUAUCGAGAGGAACACCAGUGGCGAAGGCGAGUCCCUGGACAAUACCUGACACUGAGGCACGAAAGCUAGGGGAGCAAACAGG
rnacentral:rRNA from 1 species